CCACUAAAUCCGAGACCAUGGUCUUGAGUCGGAAAUGUGUAGAAUGGCUUCUCCGGGUCAGGGAUGAGGUCCUGCCCCAAGUGGAGAAGUUUAAGCAGUCCUUUUUACACCGGGAGAGUCUUGGCCUCUUGGCUGGACUCGCCAGAUCACAAAAUCCCUCGAGACUUCAGGUUAUGGUUUGUGUACGCAAUCCGCCAAUGAAUCAAAAAGAAGGAAAUCACGUUUGAUAUUGCUGUUUGUGCUUGAUGUCAUAUGUGAUGUUGUUCCUCUCCACUGCCAGGAUUAAAGCCAUGAAAACACACUGCUGCUAUUCUGGAACAAUGCUGGGAGUAAAUAAGCUGUUGGGUCACACGUAAGCUUCAUAUAUAUGAAAUAGCAUCGCUGCUGUACUUUUAUUUAGAACAUUACCGGGGAUUUUACUCUGAAACCGUGUGUGAUUUCCUGUCUAGCGCUAUGCUAACUGCGGAUCAUGAUUAGUCCCAGAAGCGGCUCGUGGCAAAAGUAGAACCUGAUCCUAUCUUUAUCGUCUCGGCUGCUUUCAAACAUUCCAUAGACUAUAAUGGGUUCUAUUAGAAGCAGUGACGUUUUGUUGCCGUUCCACAGUGCUGAGGCCUUCAGUGUGAAACUGCAUUUAGAGAUAGGGUGGGAAGCUCUGUCAUCCAGGGGGGCUCAGAGUAGACCUGCUGCUCCUCCACAAAGAGAGGACCCAGUGGAGGUGGCUCAAGCAUCUGGUUAGGAAGCCUCCUUGGUGUGUCAUGGUUCUGCUUUUUCUCUGUGGCUGUGCUCCUGAGUGUUUGCAGGUGAGCAGGUUGGAGAGCCGCAGCUGCAGCUGAUUAUCAUCCAGCCAGGCCAGAGGAUAUAAGGAGCGGUGUUGCCACACUUCAGUGCUGGUUGAUACUCUAUUGUUGGUACCAGCCCUGGAUUCUUACCCUCAGCUUCCUGCAGUCUGAAGUGGAUAUAUUUCCCAACGCCGCUCAACUCCUCUGGUCUCCCACUCUCCACCUCUCACCUGUCCUGGAUUACUCCUUUGCCUGCUACUCCUCUCCACCAGACCAUCUCCAGCUCAGACCUGACUUGCCUCCCUCUCCAGCUCAGACCCACACUUCGUACAAAUCAGAACACCCUCCUGGCCCAGUUUGGAUCGGCGCUUUUCGUUUUCAUUAAUUUUCUUUAUAAUAAAAACAUAUUUUUCUCACCUCCUCGUGUGAUUCUUUCAUGUGGGUUAGAAAACUUCAGCCCAACAUGACAUGGUGAGGUUUUCUGGAUACAUCCAACUAGGAGGAGGCCCAAAGGAAAACCCAGAACACGCUGGUGGGAAACGUAUUGGGAUUUCCCCGGAGGAGCUGGCCCAAGUGGCUGGAGAGAGGGAAGUCAGGGCCUCUUUGCUUGGGCCACUGCCCUCAUGACCCGACUCCAGAUAAGCAGACGAGAAUGGAUGGAUGGAUGUAGGAUUCCCCUUAAGGUUAGGUAAAUCUGUAAAGAAUGUUUUAAAAUGAUUAUGUGGCCUUACUUUUGUCAGUGCGCCUAAGGGCAGCUGUCGCCUCAAUGAAGCUUUUCAGUAUGCGUGUGUGUGGGUGAAUGAGCUGUCUAUUUUGCCACAUUGUCUUUAUUACACAAAUUAGUUAAAAUCUCCGAAUUUUAGCUUUUAAAAAUAUGUCUUUAUUGAAGUGGGGCUCUAAAAACGCCGGGUGAUGGUAGAGGAAGGCGUUACUUCCAACACGACCUACUGUGCCUAACCCGUCAGGCAUACAUCUGCCCGGCUCGAUGCUCAGCAUCUCCUUUGCUGAUUGGCAGUAAUGCUAUUUAAUCAAAUGUCAAACAGCGCUGGUUUACGAUACACCAGCCAACCUUUGAAACGGCGUUCAGGUGAAACGUGUGUACACUAACUGCACAAUGCAGCUCAAGCACACACUUUGAAUGCUUUUACCAGGUGGUCAGAAUAUUGUGUCGAUUAUUUUGAGCCAAUUGACAAAUGUUGUUCCAUUUAUUUUCUGUGCAUGUGUCAAUGAAAGCGGAGGGAGAAAGUCAUCACUUCACAUCUGGUUUAUGUACUUGUCAUUUAUUCGAUGUCUGCGGAGUAUAACCCAGAAAACCAUUCUUACAUCUCAAAAACUCCCUUGCCAUUUCAGAAAUAAUUGGCCGUCUGCUGAGCAGACUCCACAUCCAGCCGAUUUUUUUCUUUUCCACCAAGCUGCCACAGCUGACCCACUCCCUCUUUUCCCUUUACUGCUGACAGUGUGUCAACAUGUCCAUGUCAGCAACAAUAACAAUAAAACAGUUGGGAGUGAAUGAUUGAGAUCUCAUGCUGGUCCGGUGCCAUACAAGUUACUUUACAAUGAAAUACAGCUGGUUACACACUCCAGUCUUGUACGGUGCAAUAGAUUGUGUUGAACCUCAGGCUACGGCGUCUGGGCUUUCACACCGAAGUUACGGCGUUUCAUUGAAUAUUUAUAUAUCUUGAUUUUUCUGUAAAAU